AAUUUUUAAAAAUUAUCAUAAAUUGCAAAUAAAGUUUAUUUAUUCAAGAGGUGUCUUAUGCAUAUCCAGUAAUUAACAUUUGUAGCUGUUGUGAUGUGCAAAAAUGCCAGUAUUUAAAUACUUUUUGUUUACCCCUUAAUAGAAGAGUUAAUAGUAUUUUGUUCUAAUUAAAAAAAAAACAAAACAUACUGAAUAUGUGCCAAACGCUUGUUUGUUUGUUUUUUGAGAGAAACAUUCAUUUCUCAAAUACUGAGUCUCUAGACCAAUGCAAGAUGAUGAAUGAAAUGCUAGUAUUUCUUACCCACACAGAAAUGUAUGAAAAACUCAAGGCUCAAUUAGGUGCAUCUCAUAAGAGUUUUGUCCUGACCUCCACUUUGAGAGUUUCCUUUGCUUAAAAAGCCUGUGGAGAUUUUAAUGAUUUCUUCAUUAAAGUGUGGUGUACCAAAUUACAUUAAAGGCCACAAAGAUUGAUUAUUAUUUUCCUCAACAGUGAAGAGGUUUUUGUAUGUGACUUCUCCAUCUUAGAGAUUUCUAGGAACAGACUCUGUUACUUUUUACCAAUAAUGAGAUAUUUAAUUGGUACUGUUUCAGCCUUCACUUAGAGUCAGGAGUUGUGUUAUGAUCGUACAUAGAUAAAAUGUCAUCUUAAAAUGGGAUUUGUCAUGUAUGGUUUUCCAAGAAUUUUCUCUUUGCUAUACCCUAUCCCUUAGUGUGAUCUUGCAUCCCUAUAGGAGGCAGCGCACGACCAUUCUAUAUAAUGACUGUUGGCAAAUGCAAACAAUGGAAAAAAUGUCAGCUCUUCCAAAGCCAAUGUCUGUCAAUGCCUACUCCCUGGUUGGCAGAGAGCACCCUGCUCAAUUGCUAAGAGGCCCUUCUUCUAUAGACCAAGAGGGAUGAAAAAGUCUGACAUCACAUCUAGAAGUUUACUACCAUCUUUGGAAUGAUUCCAAUGUCAGAAGUCACAGCAAUGGUGGAGUUGCUAUUGAUGUUCUCAGUCCUGUUUAAUCUUGGUCAUUCUUCACUUCAUACAAUAUUUUAUCUUUCCUAUCAUGGUGAGUCACAUACCUAUUACCUCCCAUCACUUUCACCUUGUGAUUUCUGCUUCAUUAAAGGAUUCGUGUAUUCAUCAAAUUUAGUAACUGGACUUACUUUGGCCAGUGACACAGGCAGUUUUGACAAAUGCUCCAAUAAGGGUUAAUCGCAACAGACGUAAGAAACAGAGUGCAAUUGUUAAAAACAUUUAUCAACAACUUUGCUGUGCUUUGCCCAACAAAAUUGAUAUUAAUGAGAUGCUUUGUAAAUAUUGCAUGCUACAUGAACUGCUUAGGAUUAUUUCUUUUUCCCUAUGAAACAAAUCAGUUCUAAUUAAAAAUUAAAACACAAUUAUUUCACCCUGUCUUUGAGAUGUUACAUUUGAAAUUAUAAUAUUUGUUUCUGUUAUGGUUUUGUAAUUUUGCUAUUGGUAUUCCACAUCAUAACAUCAUGUACAGCACGGGUAAUUAAAGAGUUAAUACUCCAGUUCCAUGGAUUGACAACUUUCCAGAUACCUGCUUCUCAAAAGAGAAGAACUACAUAUCCCAGGGGACCUCAUGGUCAGAGGAGGAAGAUAUGUCACAGAAGUCACAGGAUCUUGUUCUUGGAUGGGAUCUCUCUCUCUCUUUCACUGGCAGAGGGUGCAGGUGUGCAUCCAAGCUGUGCGCCUUCAUUCAAGUAGGCCUUACCAUUUUGGAAGCUCUUUUAUUUUAUUUAUUAUCCUCAACUUCAAUUAGGUUGUAUUAUAUUGUGUUAUCUUGCAUCCUGAUAUAAAAGUUGGUAAAAUAAGCCUUCCUCCUCAGAUUGUUGCCGCUGCUCUUUUUCUCUCUCUGAGCCCAGCUCCCAUUACCCUACUCCUUUCCCUUUUCCCUUCCUAUUUUUGGGAGCCAGGAGGUCCACAGGCCUACUGCCCCCCUGUCACAGGCAUAGACUGAUAUAGAUAACUCUGACAGUUUCUGAAGUGCUCAGUGGUGACUUAUCCACAAACUCCAUGUUUCCCUUUUGGGUCUUUCAUUAUCACCCUGAGAUUUAGAAGGGUAUUCCUCUUGCUGAAAAUUUUGCCCAGUCUUUGAAUUCACAGAAUUAGUACUUGAUUGACUGCUGAUGACUUUAGAAGAGAAUAGGGGAGUACCAUGCGUUCAAAGGUUUUCUUGCAAAUCACAUCU
ensembl:lncRNA